ACUUAAAUUGAAGAGUUUGAUCAUGGCUCAGAUUGAACGCUGGCGGCAGGCCUAACACAUGCAAGUCGAGCGGUAGCACAGAGAGCUUGCUCUCGGGUGACGAGCGGCGGACGGGUGAGUAAUGUCUGGGAAACUGCCUGAUGGAGGGGGAUAACUACUGGAAACGGUAGCUAAUACCGCAUAACGUCGCAAGACCAAAGUGGGGGACCUUCGGGCCUCAUGCCAUCAGAUGUGCCCAGAUGGGAUUAGCUAGUAGGUGGGGUAACGGCUCACCUAGGCGACGAUCCCUAGCUGGUCUGAGAGGAUGACCAGCCACACUGGAACUGAGACACGGUCCAGACUCCUACGGGAGGCAGCAGUGGGGAAUAUUGCACAAUGGGCGCAAGCCUGAUGCAGCCAUGCCGCGUGUGUGAAGAAGGCCUUCGGGUU
rnacentral:rRNA from 1 species